rnacentral:misc_RNA from 1 species
UCAAACUUGGCCAUUUAGAGGAAGUAAAAGUCGUAACAAGGUUUCCGUAGGUGAACCUGCGGAAGGAUCAUUAUUGAUUUUUAGUGAAUGUGCUGGCCUUCCGGGGCAAUGUGCACUUCUCAAAACCAAUAUCCACCCGUGCACUCUCUGUAGGCAGGACCAGCUCAGGUCCUGUCUAUGUCUCUUUCACAAACUCAUGUUGGAUUACAUGGAAUGUUAUUAUUUAAAUUGAUACAACUUUCAACAAUGGAUCUCUUGGUUCUCGCAUCGAUGAAGAACGCAGC